rnacentral:rRNA from 1 species
UACGUAGGGAGCAAGCGUUGUUCGGAUUUACUGGGCGUAAAGGGCGCGUAGGCGGCAAAUUAAGUCAGCUGUGAAAUCUCCGAGCUUAACUCGGAACGGUCAGCUGAUACUGAUCUGCUAGAGUGCGGAAGGGGCAAUCGGAAUUCUUGGUGUAGCGGUGAAAUGCGUAGAUAUCAGGAGGAACACCGGUGGCGAAGGCGGGUCUCUGGGCCGAUACUGACGCUGAGGAGCGAAAGCGUGGGGAGCGAACAGG